GACGAACCGUGCGAACGUUAUUCGGAAUCACUGGGCUUAAAGCGCGUGUAGGCGGGCCGGCACGUCGACGGCUGAAAGCCCCCGGCUCAACCGGGGAAGGGGCCUCGAUACGACCGGCCUGGAGGGGGGUAGGGGGAGCCGGAACUCACGGUGGAGCGGUGAAAUGCGCAGAUAUCUGGGGGAAGGCCGGCGGCGAAGGCGCUUUUCUGGUUGGUACCUGACACUGAGGCACGAAAGCGUGGGGAGCAAACAGG
rnacentral:rRNA from 1 species